UCCGCUUCACGAAAGUUAACAUGUGUACGGUCGUUGAGAGGGAAGCUGUUUUUGGCCAGAAAUCAUUUUGUUUAUCAGGUUUCCUUUGUUUUACUUUACCAACUCGGACUUGGAAGGUGGACACCACAGACUUAAUAAGAAAACAACACAGAAGAGAAGAAUAUCCGGUCAGCUCCCUACAGAAGUUAACGUUAAAUGUGAAAAGAGCUAAAGAGGCGUGCCUGGCAAGUACAAGCAGGAGAGGACAGACGCAGAGACUGCCAGCAAAAAUCGUCUUUCUUGAGCUUCCUGGGAUUGUUGCCUCACUCAGAUGGCUUAAGGUGCUUUCAGACCAAAAGCGAAGCGAGCAUUCAGGCGGUGAGUUGGGGAAGAGGAGCAGGGAACAGCGCUGCAACAUUUGGACAAAUAAACACCCAUAGUCGGUCGGAUUCAGCUCUGACAACUACGCCGAUUACUCGCGGGAGGAGCUCGGAGUUAACUGCUUUUAUUAAAUUAGCUUUUUACUUUAAUUUUUGGGAUUUCGACAUUCAUUUACCUUCACUGGAGCUUCUCAGCAGCUAGCUUCCGUGCACAGUCCGGUUCCAGUGUUGUUGUUUGCGUCGUUAACUCUGUCGGACUACAACUUCAUAUUUAUAUAAAAACCAGACAAAACUGGACAUUGCUGGAAGAAAAGAAAGCGAGGAGGUUGAACUAGCUGUGAAUGUACUCACGUGAGGAAAGCGUUGCGAGGCGAAAAUUCGCGGUUGGUCUGAAUGCACCAUUAGAGGCCACGAAAACCUCAAAGGACCAGCUGGACCCUCACAAGCUCAAUGUGCUCAUAGGUAUGUCUGGCUCCUUCACACCAUCACUGUU